AGUGGUUCUUGAGUGACGCACCCCAGAAUCAGGCUUCCUCCUCUCUGGUUCCAGGUUUGUCACCCGAGAACCACC
rfam:Myotis lucifugus cont2.1681, whole genome shotgun sequence.